rnacentral:rRNA from 1 species
AGUGAACGCUGGCGGUAGGCCUAACACAUGCAAGUCGAACGGCAGCACAGUAAGAGCUUGCUCUUACGGGUGGCGAGUGGCGGACGGGUGAGGAAUACAUCGGAAUCUACUUUUUCGUGGGGGAUAACGUAGGGAAACUUACGCUAAUACCGCAUACGACCUACGGGUGAAAGCAGGGGAUCUUCGGACCUUGCGCGAUUGAAUGAGCCGAUGUCGGAUUAGCUAGUUGGCGGGGUAAAGGCCCACCAAGGCGACGAUCCGUAGCUGGUCUGAGAGGAUGAUCCGCCACCCUGGCACUGAGACACGGUCCAGACUCCUACGGGAGGCAGCAGUGGGGAAUAUUGGACGAUGGGCGCAAGCCUGAUCCAGCCAUACCGCGUGGGUGAAGAAGGCCUUCGGGUUGUAAAGCCCUUUUGUUGGGAAAGAAAAGCAGCAGGUUAAUACCCCGCUGUUCUGACGGUACCCAAAGAAUAAGCACCGGCUAACUUCGUG